rnacentral:rRNA from 1 species
AUGCGUACAAGCAGUCGGAGCGGACUUGUUCCGUGACGGCGUACCUUUUGUAUAAUGGGUCAGCGACUUAUGUUCAGUGGCGAGGUUAACCGUUUAGGGGAGCCGUAGGGAAACCGAGUCUGAAUAGGGCGAUUUAGUCGCUGGGCAUAGACCCGAAACCGGGCGAUCUAUCCAUGAGCAGGUUGAAGGUGCCGUAACAGGCACUGGAGGACCGAACCCACUGUCGUUGAAAAGCCAGGGGAUGACUUGUGGAUCGGAGUGAAAGGCUAAUCAAGCCCGGAGAUAGCUGGUUCUCCCCGAAAGCUAUUUAGGUAGCGCCUCGGACGAAUACCACAGGGGUUAGAGCACUGUUU